rnacentral:rRNA from 1 species
UACGUAGGGGGCAAGCGUUGUCCGGAUUUAUUGGGCGUAAAGAGCGUGUAGGCGGCCUUACAGGUCCGUUGUGAAAACUCGAGGCUCAACCUCGAGACGCCGGUGGAAACCGUAAAGCUAGAGUCCGGAAGAGGAGAGUGGAAUUCCUGGUGUAGCGGUGAAAUGCGCAGAUAUCAGGAGGAACACCCGUGGCGAAAGCGGCUCUCUGGGACGGUACUGACGCUGAGGAGCGAAAGCGUGGGGAGCGAACAGG